GACGAACCGUGCGAACGUUGUUCGGAUUCACUGGGCUUAAAGGGCGCGUAGGCGGGUCGGUCAGUCCGGGGUGAAAUCCCCUCGCUCAACGAGGGAACUGCCCCGGAGACGGCCGGUCUCGAGGGAGGUAGGGGCAUGUGGAACUUCCGGUGGAGCGGUGAAAUGCGUAGAUAUCGGAAGGAACGCCGGUGGCGAAAGCGACGUGCUGGACCUCUUCUGACGCUGAGGCGCGAAAGCCAGGGGAGCAAACGGG
rnacentral:rRNA from 1 species